rnacentral:rRNA from 1 species
AUUGAACGCUGGCGGCAGGCCUAACACAUGCAAGUCGAACGGUAACAGGAAGCAGCUUGCUGCUUCGCUGACGAGUGGCGGACGGGUGAGUAAUGUCUGGGAAACUGCCUGAUGGAGGGGGAUAACUACUGGAAACGGUAGCUAAUACCGCAUAACGUCGCAAGACCAAAGAGGGGGACCUUCGGGCCUCUUGCCAUCGGAUGUGCCCAGACGGGAUUAGCUAGUAGGUGGGGUAACGGCUCACCUAGGCGACGAUCCCUAGCUGGUCUGAGAGGAUGACCAGCCACACUGGAACUGAGACACGGUCCAGACUCCUACGGGAGGCAGCAGUGGGGAAUAUUGCACAAUGGGCGCAAGCCUGAU